rnacentral:rRNA from 1 species
AUCGUGCAAAGGUAGCAUAAUAAUUAGUUUUUUAAUUAAGAACUGGUAUGAACGGUUGGACGAGAGAAAAACUGUCUCAAUUUAAUUUAAAUUAGAAUUUUAUAUUUAAGUAAAAAAGCUUAAAUUUUUUUAAAAGACGAGAAGACCCUAUAGAGUUUUAUAUAAAAUAUAUUUUUAAAAUUAAAGUAUUAAAGUUUUUAGAGUUAAUUUUAUAUUUGGUUGGGGUGACUAAAAAAUUAAAAUAACUUUUUUUAUUGUAUUACAUUGAUUUAUGAGUAAGUGAUCCAUAUUUUAUGAUUAAAAGAUUAAAUUACCUUAGGGAUAACAGCGUAAUUUUUUUUGAGAGUUCUUAUCGAAAAAAAAGUUU